rnacentral:tRNA from 1 species
GCCGUAGAGGCCGGGGCUAAGGAUUCGUAAUGCGUAGGUCGUAGGUUCGAUUCCUAUUUCCGGCACCA